rnacentral:lncRNA from 1 species
AUGCCAGUGAGCAUUUGGCUUCUGAAGAUUGCUGUCUUCGGUAUUCCUGGUACCCGCUACCCUUUGGAGCACUGGCACCCACUUCCCCAUUGGCAGCCAGACCCUCAGCUGCUGUUUCUGGUUAUCCAGCAACGCACUCUUAUCUGGAUGGCAUCGCAGCCAGCUGGCCUUCCUCCAGGCCCCAACCUCACAUGCCAGGGGAGACAACCAACCCUCCUAACCAUAUUGGAAAAGACAAAAACACAGAGCUGCAUUUUAUCUGCAAAACCCAAGACAAAAAGCAACCCACGCUUCUUCACUACCUGCCUGAUCGACACACAAAACAACCCGCUCCUCAGAGUGGCUCUGGCAGCUCCAAAAGUGAGUGAGAAACCCUUCUGUGAAAAACCCCACAGAGGAUUUUGUGGUGAGCUGGAAGGCACACACGUGGAUCUGUGCUUUCAGCAGGUUCCCUUGCACUUAUUCCCAGAUCACCGGUGAAGCUGCUUCUACUUAGGAUCCAUUUCAUGGGCUGAGAUAACCUUCCUUUCUACAGGGGAUAAUUGUGCGUGUGUGUUUGGUUUUGUUUGUUUUGUUUUCCAGAACAUCAGAAAUGCCUGAACAUGUUCCAG